rnacentral:rRNA from 1 species
UGUGCGUUUAAGUUGGUAGGUGGGAAGUUUAGGCAAAUCCGGACUUCCUUAACACAGAGAGAUGAUGACGAGGCUCUACGGAGCUGAAGUAACUGAUACCACACUUCCAGGAAAAGCCACUAAGCGAAAGGCUUUACUAAACCGUACUGAAAACCGACACAGGUGGUCAGGUAGAGAAUACUCAGGCGCUUGAGAGAACUCGGGUGAAGGAACUAGGCAAAAUAGCACCGUAACUUCGGGAGAAGGUGCGCCGGC